UGUGGGUUGAGGGGGUGUACACUGAGGAAGGGGCACUGUGAGGUGUGCCAGGAAAGGAGGAAACGUGCCAGGAAAACAAGCCCGAAGUUCUGCCUGAGGCUGGGCACAACCUUGAUGUUGUAAGAGGCAAAGGUCCAGUGGACUGGGUGGCAGCCCAGCACUCUUGACAGCAGUCUUUGAAGCCAACAACCAGGACUUACAUGUUGAUGCUAGUACUGAUAUAUGAUUCAGGCAAGUCAUUUCACUUCCCUGUGUCUGUAUGUUCCCAUAUGUAAAAUCAUCAUAAUAAAAACAUAAAUGUAUAUUUUCAGAGUACUUUGCAAUGUUGGCUUAAAGACUCCCAUGUCAGCAAAUGCUGUUAUUACAGCAGCCAAAGACAGACACCACUGUAUCCUCUGAAGCCAUGUCAUAUUUCAAAAUUCUUUUUUUUUUCCCCCAUUGAUUCAUAGGCAAGCCCUUUGUAUCACUAAAAUCCUCAUGUCCAGAGGCUGGUGCUAGUAUUUCUGGGGGGGGAGGGGGGGGGCAGGUUACUGCAGCACUACACCACCAGCAUCUUAAACAUAAAUACAGAAAUGUUAAUUUACAAUCAAUUUUGGGAUGUUUCAGACUGUAAAGUUCUUUUAACUAGAUCUCUGUUGAGGACAGAGGAGCACUUUAUGGGACUGUAAAUUUCAUGCAAACAGUCUCUGUGAAAUACAGAUUCCCCCUACACACGAGCUGUUCUCUCAAUAUCAAUCAUAUGCCUUGCAAGUAAUGUUUCACAAAUAUUCUGUAAAUCACAGGAAAAUGCUUGCAAUAAUGUGAAAUAUGACUUUCACUUGACUGUUUCAGCAGAGGCCCCUAACAGGCCAUUCUCCUGUCAGCACUAACAUUUGUUAUGGCUAAUAACAUUUUCAAUCACAACUAUUUUGGGAAAAUGGAUUUAUUUUAAACCUGCUUUCCUGCAGAGGAGAUCCUGAAAACGCCUUGCCAAGGACACAGAUGCCUUACAGAACACAGACCGUUAAUUCCCAAAUGAAAUUUCAUCUCAUCUUAAUUCUCAAGCACUGUUUCUUAGCCAGCUUUUUGAAGACUUUACUUGUUUGUUUUUAGGCACUGAGAUACAGCUUCACGUCUUAGUCAUUGUUUUCAGUCUGGUUCAGAUAAUAGGAGUAGAAAGUUACUUUUGAGCAGGUAUCUUGGGGAUACUUUGGAACGGAUUUGAAAUUUUUAUCCAGAUAUUAGGAGAAAAGGCUUAAGAACUUUGUAAAUAGGAAAUUGUUAAUCUUGAUGAUUUGUAUUACACUGGGAAAAAAUUCUUAUUCUGAAACACAUAUAUUUUAUGUCAUUUUAACUCUUUCUCUCAAUAAACCACACUUAAAUAAAA